rnacentral:rRNA from 1 species
GGACGAACGCUGGCGGCGUGCUUAACCCAUGCAAGUCGAACGGAAAGGCCCUGCUUUUGUGGGGUGCUCGAGUGGCGAACGGGUGAGUAACACGUGAGUAACCUGCCCUUGACUUUGGGAUAACUUCAGGAAACUGGGGCUAAUACCGGAUAGGAGCUCCUGCUGCAUGGUGGGGGUUGGAAAGUUUCGGCGGUUGGGGAUGGACUCGCGGCUUAUCAGCUUGUUGGUGGGGUAGUGGCUUACCAAGGCUUUGACGGGUAGCCGGCCUGAGAGGGUGACCGGCCACAUUGGGACUGAGAUACGGCCCAGACUCCUACGGGAGGCAGCAGUGGGGAAUAUUGCACAAUGGGCGGAAGCCUGAUGCAGCAACGCCGCGUGCGGGAUGACGGCCUUCGGGUUGUAAACCGCUUUCGCCUGUGACGAAGCGUGAGUGACGGUAAUGGGGAAAGAAGCACCGGCUAACUACGU